rnacentral:rRNA from 1 species
UACGUAGGUGGCAAGCGUUGUCCGGAAUUAUUGGGCGUAAAGCGCGCGCAGGCGGCCUCUUAAGUCUGAUGUGAAAGCCCCCGGCUCAACCGGGGAGGGCCAUUGGAAACUGGGAGGCUUGAGUAUAGGAGAGAAGAGUGGGAAUUCCACGUGUAGCGGUGAAAUGCGUAGAGAUGUGGAGGAACACCAGUGGCGAAGGCGACUCUUUGGCCUAUAACUGACGCUGAGGCGCGAAAGCGUGGGGAGCAAACAGG